GCGGAAGUAGUUCAGUGGUAGAACAUCACCUUGCCAAGGUGAGGGUCGCGGGUUCGAAUCCCGUCUUCCGCU
rfam:Aerococcus urinae ACS-120-V-Col10a, complete genome.